rnacentral:rRNA from 1 species
UACGGAGGAUGCAAGCGUUAUCCGGAAUUAUUGGGCGUAAAGCGUCCGCAGGUGGCACUUCAAGUCUGUCGUCAAAGACCGGGGCUUAACCCUGGAAAGGCGAAGGAAACUGAAAGGCUAGAGAGAGGUAGGGGUAGAGGGAAUUCCCAGUGUAGCGGUGAAAUGCGUAGAGAUUGGGAAGAACAUCGGUGGCGAAAGCGCUCUACUGGACCUCAUCUGACACUCAGGGACGAAAGCUAGGGGAGCGAAUGGG